rnacentral:lncRNA from 8 species
AUGUACACAUGCAUGUUAUUCAACCAUUCCAUCCAAACUGCUCGUGCGCGUCAACGAGCGUGCGCAGACUCAGGCGCGUGUCCGGUGUCGUCAGCGUGUCAGGAUGCUGCUGUGUGCCUUAAGGCAGGCAGGUGGUCACUGGUUAGGCCUAAGUGUGUUACACGUGGUUACAUUGCGUACUUUGUCCCUGAGGAACACUUGACUGUUUACACAUGAUCAAACACUCAUUGAGAGAUAAACAACUUGACAAAAGAGAGAAGAGAGACAAGCAUACACACAACUAACACAUGACGAACACAGAAUGGGAAUGAUCAUUCACAACAGAAAGAGAAAAAAAGACAAAACACUGGACAAACACAAAAAUCACAACCAACACUUCCUGGGUGGACGACUGGUUUGGUUGCUACAACCCAUCACGUUGUUCUCAGCACUUUAUUCAUCAGCUUACUUCCCCUUGCAAUAGCGUGGCACUAAUCCUGGUAAAUCAACUGAGACAUUAACAUAACACCAGCAGUCACUUUACAUGACAUGGAAUGGUUUGCUUUCCUUAAAACCACCCCAAGGCUAACAUACUCAGUCAACACAGAAACAAACACAACUCCCGACCAACAAGCCACGCACCAGCAGCGCACUAAGCCAGGGAUAGAGAUUAAGCCGCGGGCUGUUUUUUUCUCUUGAGCAGACGGUCAGGUGACCAACCAGAAGCCCAAAACGUAAUAAUUUCAAACCUUGCUUACAUUUGUAUGAGAUCACAUUAUCCCUCGAUUAUGCGUGGGAAUACUUUGGAACAGAUUUCCCAAAUUAAAACCACUUGUAGCUAAUUCGCUGGUGUUUGGACAUAAAAGACUGUACAACAAUAAAAAUAAGUAAUUUUUUUUCAGAAAACACGGGGGGGGGGGGCAAAUAAAAUCCAACCAGCAAAUUGAAGCAGUUCCAUGGGUUAGGCCUUUAUUUGACAGCUCACAGGAAGAAAAUAAAUCAGUGACAGCUUCAUCAUAGCCCUUUCCACCCAUUCCACCCCCCUGUCAGUGUGUAAAUAAAGUAACACUAUGUAACCAGGAAGUCCUUUGUUAUAUUAGCCUCCGUCCUUUUUAUUAUUUCACAUCAGACUGUCUCCCUGGUUCACUAUGGCUGGCCCUGCUCCCUUACGCCUGACCGACCCCUGCUCUCUGCGCGCGUGUGUGUGUGUGUGUAUGUGUGUUUAGUGAGAGUGGUGCAUAGCCUCCAUGCAAGUCUUCAUCAGUGUGUCCAAGUGGGGCGUUUUUCCGCAUGACUGCGCCAUCCUUGAAGGGCCGUCCCUAAUGAUAAAACAACUAGCCCAGAACAACAAGAGAGGCUAACGCGAUCCGGCCAUGUCUGUACUGCUGCAUGAUGCCCUGCAAGUAUUUCUGCUUGGCAGAUAAGUGAGAGAGGCAUUAGAGAAUGUAGAGCGCAUUCCCCACUGAAACCAUGUCUAUCUGCUGGUAUUACACACAGGCUGGAUGACAGUAUAUAGGAUCAUUUUGAAAUGUUCGGUGAAUCGUCAACAACCUGCUUAAUGUGGCAUGCCCCGCCUGAAUAGAAUACUGAUGAGGCCAUGUACGAAAUGUGUGAUUUGCAGGUACUGUAAAAGCAACAUGCCAACAUGAGUUCAACUAUGUGAACAGAAAAGGCUUCCAUUCAUAAUGUGCAGGCACCAAAAGACGGUGCUGAAUGUAAAAUCCAAUCCAAUUUUUAUUUGUCACAUGCGGCAAAUGCAACAGAUUUAGACAUUACCGUGAAAUGCUUACUUACGAGCCCUUAACCAAAAAGCUGAGUUAAAAAGAAAAAGUUAAAUAACGAGGAUAUGUACAGUGCCUUCGGAAAGUAUUCAGACCCCUUGACAUUUUCCACAUUUUGUUACAUUACAGCCUUAUUCAAAAAAUUUAUUAAAUAAAAAAAUUCUCAGCAAUCUACACACAAUACCCCAUAAUGACAAAGUGAACACAGGUUUAGACAUUUUUGCAAAUAUGAAACAAAGAUUUAACUCUUUGGCCUGAAUGCCAAGCUUCACGUCUAGAGGAAACCUGGCACCAUCCCUACGGUGAAGCAUGGUGGUGGAAGAAUAGUGCUGUGGGGAUGUUUUUCAGCGGAAGGGACUGGGAGAC